CGCACAUUGCGCCCCUUGGUAUUCCGGGGGGCAUGCCUGUUCGAGCGUCAUUUCAACCCCUCAAGCUUUGCUUGGUAUUGGGCUCUGCCGGCGACGGCUUGCCUUAAAAUCAGUGGCGGUGCUAUUCGAGCUCUACGCGUAGUAACUAAAACCCUCGCGAUUGAGUUUUUGAUAAGCGCUGGCCAGCAACCCUUAACAUUCUAUGGUUGACCUCGGAUCAGGUAGGGAUACCCGCUGAACUUAA
rnacentral:misc_RNA from 1 species